GAUGAACGCUGGCGGCGUGCCUAAUACAUGCAAGUCGAGCGAACGGACGAGAAGCUUGCUUCUCUGAUGUUAGCGGCGGACGGGUGAGUAACACGUGGAUAACCUACCUAUAAGACUGGGAUAACUUCGGGAAACCGGAGCUAAUACCGGAUAAUAUUUUGAACCGCAUGGUUCAAAAGUGAAAGACGGUCUUGCUGUCACUUAUAGAUGGAUCCGCGCUGCAUUAGCUAGUUGGUAAGGUAACGGCUUACCAAGGCAACGAUGCAUAGCCGACCUGAGAGGGUGAUCGGCCACACUGGAACUGAGACACGGUCCAGACUCCUACGGGAGGCAGCAGUAGGGAAUCUUCCGCAAUCGGCGAAAGCCUGACGGAGCAACGCCGCGUGAGUGAUGAAGGUCUUCGGAUCGUAAAACUCUGUUAUUAGGGAAGAACAUAUGUGUAAGUAACUGUGCACAUCUUGACGGUACCUAAUCAGAAAGCCACGGCUAACUACGUG
rnacentral:rRNA from 1 species